CACACGCAUACGUCACGUACAUUAGGAUAUAUAUAUAUGGUCGUAGAACGGUAUAGUUCAAUGUACUGAGAAAUCGCAUGGGGCAAAGAUCGUAUAAAUUUUCCUUGGAAGCGGAAAUGUCAAAAAAUUAGCUGGAAAAUUUUAUUUGACCUCGAAGUGAUUCCAGAAAUCACGUGAGGCUCCAAAGUGCGAAACUUUUCACGUUUAAAGCCUUUUGGUCGCGAACAUCGCGAAAAGAUGAAAAUCUAGUGAGAUACUAGGUUAUUUGAUGCAAAAUAUACAAAAAGCUUUUCAAGGUUAUACAUUUAAUAGUCCCUUUAUGGUUUGUCGUCUGCUAUCUCGAUCAGCUGUAUGGAUCAGCUGGAUCUAACAUAAGUAAGGACCGUAGAUUGUGGGAGCUCUUUAGCUAGAAGAAAUUUAAUCAAUCGGGAAAGAAAUUUUUGCUUCUUUGGAUUGGUACACCUGACUGUCAUAUGAUAAUAGUACCUUGACUUUGACAUUUGACAUUCCUAUAGACUUCUAUAGAUUAUGUAGAAGGCUGUAGACUAUAGAUAAUUCCUCUUCACAAUAUUGUGUAUUUUGAUGAUAAAAUUCAGGCAAAAAAUAAAGUUUCCUCUUCAUGUCUUCCCUUUUUCAUUAAU